UACGGAGGGUGCAAGCGUUAUCCGGAUUUAUUGGGUUUAAAGGGUCCGUAGGCGGACCUGUAAGUCAGUGGUGAAAUCUCGCAGCUUAACUGUGAAACUGCCAUUGAUACUGCAGGUCUUGAGUGAAUUUGAGGUAGCUGGAAUAAGUAGUGUAGCGGUGAAAUGCAUAGAUAUUACUUAGAACACCAAUUGCGAAGGCAGGUUACCAAGAUUCAACUGACGCUGAGGGACGAAAGCGUGGGGAGCGAACAGG
rnacentral:rRNA from 1 species